UACAGCGGGUGCGAGCGUUAAUCGGCAUUACUGGGCGUAAAGCGCACGUAGGUGGCUGUGUAAGUCGGGUGUGAAAUCUCCGGGCUCAACCUGGGAACUGCAUUCGAGACUGCAUAGCUGGAGUACGGAAGAGGAGGGCGGAAUUCCCGGUGUAGCGGUGAAAUGCGUAGAUAUCGGGAGGAAUACCAGUGGCGAAGGCGACCCCCUGGGCCAAUACUGACGCUGAGGUACGAAAGCGUGGGUAGCAAACAGG
rnacentral:rRNA from 1 species